AACGCCGCGUGAGSGAUGACGGCCUUCGGGUUGUAAACCUCUUUUAGUAGGGWAGAAGCGAAAGUGACGGUACCUGCAGAAAAAGCACCGGCUAACUACGUGCCAGCAGCCGCGGUAAUACGUAGGGUGCAAGCGUUGUCCGGAAUUAUUGGGCGUAAAGAGCUCGUAGGCGGUUUGUCGCGUCUGCUGUGAAAUCCCGAGGCUCAACCUCGGGCUUGCAGUGGGUACGGGCAGACUAGAGUGCGGUAGGGGAGAUUGGAAUUCCUGGUGUAGCGGUGGAAUGCGCAGAUAUCAGGAGGAACACCGAUGGCGAAGGCAGAUCUCUGGGCCGUAACUGACGCUGAGGAGCGAAAGCGUGGGGAGCGAACAGGAUUAGAUACCCUGGUAGUCCACGCCGUAAACGUUGGGCGCUAGAUGUAGGGACCUUUCCACGGUUUCUGUGUCGUAGCUAACGCAUUAAGCGCCCCGCCUGGGGAGUACGGCCGCAAGGCUAAAACUCAAAGGAAUUGACGGGGGCCCGCACAAGCGGCGGAGCAUGCGGAUUAAUUCGAUGCAACGCGAAGAACCUUACCAAGGCUUGACAUACACCGGAAACGGCCAGAGAUGGUCGCCCCCUUGUGGUCGGUGUACAGGUGGUGCAUGGUUGUCGUCAGCUCGUGUCGUGAGAUG
rnacentral:rRNA from 1 species